GAAGAUCACAAAUAUAGUCACGGUCAAUUCAAUUUAUAACCAGAGUAAUAAAUAUAAAUCAAUAACCCAAUCCUCUUUUAAUUCAUAUGAAAUAUAAUCUUUUCUUCAUUCACAAUCUCAAUAUGAUAUCCAUUAUAAUGAAUAUAUUUUAAAACUAAUGCAUUAACAUCAAAAUUUUGUAUUAACUUUUCUGGAGCUUUC
rnacentral:lncRNA from 1 species